UAGAUUUGUUGGCAAAAGUACACAAGUUUGUUGACCCUUUUUUUUCAAUUUUAGGUGUGGCCUCCUAUUGGCAAGAAGAAGUUUGAGACUCUUUCAUAUCUUCCACCAUUGACCAGAGAACAAUUGGCGAAAGAAGUUGAAUACCUUAUAAGGAAGGGAUGGGUUGCUUGCUUGGAAUUCGAGACCGAGGUCUAGUUUUAAUUUAUUUUCAAUGCCUUUUCAACGAACAUAUAUAUAGUUUUGAACUUAGAUGGUUAAUCGGUUUGUCAUGGUUAAUCUACUUGCAGAAAGGAUUUGUGUACCGUGAGAACCACAGUUCACCAGGAUAUUAUGACGGACGUUACUGGACAAUGUGGAAGUUGCCUUUGUUUGGAGCAACUGAUGCUUCUCAAGUGUUGAAGGAGCUUGAUGAAGUUGUUGUUGCUUACCCUAAUGCCUUUGUCCGUAUCAUCGGAUUCGACAACGUUCGUCAAGUUCAAUGCAUCAGUUUCAUUGCACACACACCUGCGGUCUACUAAAUUUGAGUGUUAAAUCACUCUCAGCUGCCAUUGGAAGAACAUCUUUUUCUCUCAAUUUGUUCUGAUUGUAAUGUCUUCCUUUGUUUUUUGGUUUUCGCUUUCGGAUUUCAAAAUGCAAAUGUAUGGAUAAGAGUUAAUAAAUGAAAUGGUACCUUUUUCAUUCUCAAGUUAGUAGUAUAUGUUGUUUUCCUUGUAAUGGCUUGAACUUGAAACUUUAAAUAACAAAGGAACUAAUAGUAUGAUAUUAAAGAAAAAAAAAUUGCAUUUCCACCUAAUUCAUUCUCAUCUUUACCAAAAUUAUGCACAAUCAGUACAUCUUUGCAAGAAAUAUUUUUGACAGAAAUUAUGAACUGAAUAUCGCUGGCGCUCCAAAAAGCAAUCCGCGGUCUCAAACUCAUCUUCAUACGCUAAAUUUUAGGCCUUAGCUUUUACUGGUUGGGAAUUGCAAUUCCUUGCAUACCUUCAGCAUGAUUUCCAUUUAUUUUUUAUUUUCUAAUCUUCCUCAUGCAGUAACAGCCAAUUCACUCACUAUAUGGCAGCCAAUUCCAUCUUUUACGAAUGGAAAAAAUACAUUGAAAUUGACCGUCACAUUGUUAUGGAAAAAGUUUCAACCGCAGUUUUUGCAAUGUCGACUGCCUAUUUCCGCAGUCGAUCAAGUGGCAGACCUGCUCACAAAACAUCUUGAACCUACCCACUUUAAUUGUCUACUUGCCUACCUGAAAGUUCUAAAUAUACAAUACUCAUAUAUUAGUAACUAAAUGAAGGGACUAAAUUGUUAGUGCAAGAUGUGUUUCUUGCACUCCUAGGAACUAAAUGAAGGGACUAAAUUUGAAAGAAACACUAUGAGUGAAUUAUAUUGAUUAUGAAAACUGAAUGAAUGAAUACAUGGGAUACAAUUACAAGUAUUUAAAGACUUUUCUAAUUACUUGAAUCACAAGUAAACUAACAAAUACAAACCAACUUGUUAGUUACUAACCACCAACUUCUCUAACAAACUAGUUGUAACUAACUACUACUUUGUAGUUGAAUUAAUCCACAACAAUAAUACCUUAGCUAAAACUUUAGCUUAAACAAUGCAAGGCAUUCUAUAUUGGUGAUUUUAUUCAUGAGUAAAGUGGACAUAUUUCAAAAAGUAAAAGGAAAUGAUACUAAGAGCCAAAACCAGCUAUAACUUAUAGAAGUGUACAUGUUUUAAUUUUUCAAUAAAUCCUAGAAAAAGUGAGAGAUUCUUGAAGAUUAUAAAUAAUGCUGAAGAUAAAUAGAUCAGAAAUUAAUAUAACCUAAUAAACAAGACUUAAAACUUCAAGGUAACGUCUAUCCGGUAAUGGUCUUGAGCAAGUUCAGAUGGUGCGACGACAUGCACCUAUUUUUUAAGGGCACCAAUAAUCUCUUAUUAAUUUUUUAGUCCUAUGAUAAAAGACGUUGUAUGUAAAGGUUGGGGACAGUAAUCGAUUAAAUUAAGUUGUCCUGCUUUAAUUUCUAAUUUUUUUUUAAGAAUGUUUCGAGAGAUGCUAGUAUCGAACCGAGUACCACAAAGUUGAGAGGUGAUUUUCCAAUCAAGUGAUCUCUCUUUUUACUGGCAUUUUUUCUAAGAAUGUUGAUUGUGAAGUGAUGGAUGAUCAAUAAUUUUGCAGAUAUAAAUGCAAAGAUGAUAAAUUUAAAUGAUUUCGAAGAAAAAAAUUUCUCGGAUCAUAUAGAGCAUCCAAAAUCUCAAGGACAACCCUACUUCCACUAUUAAGUUCUUCUUACUUAUCAUAGUCCACCUUUCAUAACUUUGGAAAAAAAAAUAAAGGAAAAGAAUGAAGUUGUAAUUUUAUUGCAUUUUUUAUGGACCUAUACAACCAUUUUUAAGGGAGAAUAAGUGCCAUUCUUUUGGUUGUUCCAAAUGUAAGUAUCUUCCACGGUAUAAUUGAAAUUGGCGUGGAUGUGAUUUAUGUGGUCAGAGGUCGUAUGAGAUGACUGGGUAUAGAGAAUAUGCGUGUGAGGAUCAUUAGCCGAGAGAACAUAUUUAACCGUAAGCUGAAUGUCAUGAAUAUCUAUAUAAGGAACAAGAGACCCAAGAAUUCCAAGAGUUGUCCAUUGACUAAACCAAAAGGAUGAAGACCCAGACUCAGCACGCCAGACAUAUCAUGCUUUAAGAACAUUUUUAGCUUUGAUGAUGGAGGACGAAGUGGGAGAGCCGUUGGGGCUAUCAGUUGCUUGAGAGGAGGUUUGCCAGAAGAUUGAAUCACGUCCAACACUAGCUUUCCUAAAAGGCAAGUAUUCGCCUCCCUAGCUGAUCUGAUUCCAAGGCCACCAAGAGAUUUAGGACGAGAAAUCUUUUUCCAACCUACUAAAUGAAUGCUUUUAUCAUUUGUACUUCUCUAAAUGAAAUUUCUAGUUGUUUGAUCAAUGUUUUCACAAAUGGAUUGAGGAAACCAACUAAUCUGCAUGUAAUAAGAUGGAAUGGAGGAAAUAAUAGAAGAAAGAAGAGUUAAUCUAUCAGGUUUAUUCAACAAUCUAUUAUUCCAGGAUACCAAUCUUGUUUGCAUUUUCUCAAUAAUAAAAUAGAAAUUAUUCCUUUUCACCCUUCCUUUCAGAAUAGAGAAGCCUAAAUACUUAUCAGGAGAAAUAGUGCUUCUAAUUCCUGAAAUAGAUGUCAGCUUGUUAAUCUUAACUUGAGGAAUGUUUGAGAAAUAGAAAGCUCUAGACUUGGACAAAUUAAUUUUCAAUCCUGAAGCAUGACUAAAGCGGUCAAAUAAAUUAGAAAAGACUCUUAGCUGAGAAUUUCUUGCCUUAGAAAAAAGGAGGUCGCCGUCCGCAAAAAGAAGAUGGGACAACUUCGGCCCUAAGUUGGUGAUGUGGAUGGGUUCCCAGUUUCCUCGGAGGACAACGUUGUUGAUGGAAAUUGAGUGUUUUUCCAUACAAAGAAUGAAAAGAUAUGGUGAGAGUGGAUCACCUUGUAUGAGGCCAUGAGUAGGCUUGAAGGGAGACAUCUUUUUCCCAUUCGAGAGGAUAGAGAAAGUGGAGGAGGCAACGCAAUGCAUGAUAAGAUUGGUUGUGAUAGUAGAGAAACUGAAAUCUUGAAGAGUACUCUUGAGGAAGUCCCAGUUGAAAAUAUCAAAAGAUUUCUCAAGAUCAAGUUUGAAAGCAGCAGAACCUUUUUAUUUUAGACCUUCUCAUAAAAUAAAAGAUUUCCUGCAAAACAAUGGCAUUGUCAGAAGUGCUUCUGCCUGGAAGAAAGUUGCUUUGGUAGAGACCAAUAAUAAUAUCAAGAAUCGGUCUUAAAAGAUGGAGUAAGACUUUAGUGAUAAUCUUGUAGACAAUAGUGCAGAGGCUGAUCAGUUUAAAAUGUUUAUAAGUGGUGGAAGGCCGAUUUGACAAGACUAAAAAUAUCGUCCCCAACUAUAUGCCAAUAUUGUUUGAAGAAAAUGCAUUGGAAAUCAUAUGGACCCGGCGCCUUAUAAGGCUUCAUGGAAUUCAGGGAUAUAACAACCUCCUCUUUAGUGAUUAAAAAUGAUAGAGUUCUCUCGGAGGUUAUUAUCAUUAUAUAUUAAAUUCAUAUAAUGGAGGUUGUACAUAACUGAUAAAUUUGAGAGAAUAAGAAUAUGAAAAGUGGCAAAUUUUUAAGAAAGGAUGAGGAGAUUUUUUAGAGAUGCCACACAGGAACAAUAGAAGUCUAAGGUUAAUCGAAGUUUAGAAUUCAAGAUAGUAUAGAAGAUAGAUAGAUAGAUGAUAGGUAACGAUUAUUUAUGGAAUUUUUUGAAAAAUACUCUCUAGAAAAACGAAAUACUUUUUAAUUUUGACCGAAAAAAAAUAAUACUUUUUAUUUACAUUUAUUUUAUACGAUUGAGUCAAACAAAAAUUUAUUCCAUGUUUUCUCGAUAGAUGUAUAUAUAGCACAAUUGAGGUCAUAUUCAUCUCAAACAAUAAUAGUUUUAAGCAAAAGAGUAGUGCUAUAUGUCCCGAUAAGAGAUAAAGUUCUAAGCAUGCAUUUUGGCGAAAUACAAGGGUGGGUGGCCAAUGAAAUAUCGUUGUGAGACAAUCACGAUGUAUGGUCUCGUGAUACUAAGCAAUUUCCAAUUCAAAAAUGGAGGUCUCACUCUACGAUAGAGUUUCAAUCAACCCUUUUCUCGAUUAAUGCAUUUCGAUUUUAGUUCAAAAUUAUUUGUUGUAGUCUUGAAUUGAUUUUUAAUUUUUUUUCUUCAGGUUUUACAUCAAAAAAUCUCACGGCGUUCGCUUCCUCCUCACUAGCUGAAAAGAAGAAGGUUAUGUUCAUAACGGGUACAAUUAACACUUGAAAAACUAUACUUUUCAUCUACUUAGGUACUCAUUUCCACUAUGAAACCAUCAAUUCAAAUAAAAUUCAAAUUUAUUAAGAUCUUGACUUGACACCAACUUGGUACCAUAAUUUGAACGUUGUUCGAUUUCACAUCACAUAUUAUGCAUCAUCAAUGAUACAUAUAUGAUUUCCCUAUGAUUAAUUUUUGCAAACACAUGCCUGAAACUCUAUAUUCAUAGCUGAAAAAUGGACAUCUAACCAUUAUUGUAGGAGGGUCACGUUCUUACAUUGAAAUAUUAGUUGAUGACCCAAUCAUUGAAUUUUGUUCAAAAUGUUAUUGUUGUUUCAAAAAUCAAUCACAAUGAAAUCAUAAUCCUAAUUAUUGCUGACGCCUAAUAUGUGAUGUCGAAUCGAACAAUGUUCAUACUCUAAUACCUUGUUGGCGAAAGGUCAAGACCCGUAUAGACUUGAAUUUUAUCUGAGUUGAUGAUUUCAAAGAGGAAUCAAGUACUUAGGUAGAUGAAAAAAAUUAUUUUUUCCAAUUCCAAUUGCUUUCGUUAUGAACAAAACCUUGUUCUUUUCGGCUAGUAUAUUGAGGAAAAAAAAGACAAGAUUUAUUUUAUUUUAUUUUUUAUGUAUAACCUAAGGAAAAGACAAUAAUACAAAUAAGGCUUAGACACACUUUUGACCCCCUAACUUUAAACUAGUUGCAAUCUUGACCCCCUAUUAAAAAAAAAACACAUUUCAGUCCCCUAAGUUUCCCCCUUUUUGCAACUUUCAAUUUUGAUCAUUCAAACUCAACCAUUUAGGACAAUAAAAAUAAGCGGGGUAUUUUGUUUAGCAAGUUUCAGGCGAUCUUGACCUUCUACCAUCUUGAAUGGUUGAUUUUUAAUGAUCAAAAUUAAAAGUUGUAAAAAGGGAAAACUUAAGGGACUCAAAUGUGUUUUUUUUUAAUAAGGGGACAUAAUUGCAACUAAUGUAAAGUUAGGGAGGCAAAAGUGCGUUUAAGUCUAAAAAUAAUUUAAAUAUACAACAAAUGAUUUUGAACUAGAAUUGAAAUGGAUUAAUCUUAUGCAUGUUGUCAAUAAGGAUACUAUGUAUAUGAAGAAGAGAAUCAAUUGAAACUUUAUUUGUGCUAUGUAUAAUGAUGUAUGAUAUAUGGAGAGAGGGACCACUAUAGGCGAGUUUGGAAUCAAUUUUGCAGAAGGUUCAUGGAGGGCGGGUUUAUCGUUGUAGGCGUGGUAGAGGUCUUAGGACUAUCCCGUAGUUUUAUGGUCUUGUAAUAGUAUUUUGAACAAAUUUGAUGUUUUUAAUUUGAUGUUUAAAUAUUUGUUUUGUAUCCUACAAAUAUUUUGUUUUUAAUAUUAUUUUUGAAAAUUGUGUUGUUUCUUAUCUUUUCAUUAUAAUAUUUUAUUUAUUCACAAAUGCAUGUUUAUAUCAAAUGAUUAUGUAAUCUGUAUGUAUUAGAGUGAAAACAAACUCUAUUUCUAUUCUAAUACCUUUCGGAUUAUAUAAUUCGAACAUUUUUAUGACAUUCAGAUUAUAUAAUCUUAAAUAUGCGUUUUUUUACACCACAAUUUCCCCUUCUGGGGUGUUUGCUGCAUUUUUCUAAGAAUGUUGAUUGUGAAGUGAUGGAUGAUCAAUAAUUUUGCAGAUAUAAAUGCAAAGAUGAUAAAUUUAAAUGAUUACGAAGAAAAGAAAAAAAAAAUCUCAGAUCAUAUAGAGCAUCCAAAAUCUCAAGGGAAACCCUACCUCCACUAUUAAGUUCUUCUUACUUUUCAUAUUCCACCUUUGAUAACCUAGGAAAUAAAAUAAAGGAAAAGAAUGAAGUUGUAAUUUUAUUGCAUUUUUUCUGGACCUAUACAACCACUAUAUGCUCACGUUCCUACUUAGAAAUUAAAAUUAAAUUGUUCUAAUUCAAUGUUAUAAUCAGAAAACUAGCUUUGAAGGAAGGAAAUGUCUUACUCGAUAUGACUUUGUCCACCGAAACUGACAUCAAGGGGGGAUCGAACGUGAAACUUUGAGAGAAACAAAUUCCAAGAUCACAAAUUAACCACAAGGUCAACCCCAAAUGAGUUUUUUUGGUUACCAUUAGAAAACCGUGUAUAUUUUAACAUAAUUUGGAUGAUUAAUUAUGUGUAGUAUAUGUGUAUUUAAACACUUAAAAAUGAUGGCUAAUUGUAUUCAUUUAAUGAUUAAUAGAUUGCUACCAAAUAUAAUUAACCACAUCUUUGCAGUUUGUUACACCCAAAAAACUAACCACAUAUUUGAACCAUGUUAACCAUCUAAUUGAUGUCAAAUUUGUUUGUCAAAGUAAUACAACUCAUCAUCGAUUUGUGAGUCUUGACAUUUUCUACAAAUAAAUGUAUACACAAACCGAUUGCUAUAAAUAUGAUACACUUAUUCUUUAUCCCUAUGAGGAGCCAAAGCCUGAAAAAAAAACUAGUACCAUACACGAUUGAUAUUUUUAGUUUUUUGGUCAAGUGGUUUAUAUUUAUGGAAGCAUUAAUAGUCACACAACUACACGUGGCAAUUUCAUAUUGGUGGCUAAAGAUAAGGCACCACAAAAAUUUCCAAUCUUGUUGUGUGGUUAAUGGCUGCAAUGUUUAUCAUUUUCACAAUCAAACAAAAUUGUAUUAUGCAGCAACCAGUUACCACAAUUUUUAGAACCAUAAUAUUGGAAAUACAAAAAUAAAGACAUUAUAUAUAGCAAGUUUGAGUAUAGGCUUUGAAAUUCAAGCAGAAGUAUAUCUUACAUUACUAGUGAACUAAGUAAGGGAGAAAAAAAAUGGCUUCCUCUAUGAUUUCCUCUUCAGCUAUGACUACAGUUAACCGCGCCUCUUCGGUACAAUCCGGCGCGGUGGCUCCAUUCGUUGGACUCAAGUCCAUGGCUGGCUUCCCAGUUACAAAGGUCAACAAGGACAUUACCUCUAUUACAAGCAAUGGUGGAAGAGUAAACUGCAUGCAGGUGAGAAAAAUAAUAGGCCUACUAUUUUAGUUUAUUAUUAGCAUAAUGGAAACAAUUUAUGACAUGUCUGUAAACUGUUUUCAUCUUAUAUUUUCAUAAGCUCUUCAGGAUAGUAGGAUAGUUUAUGAAAACAGCUUAUAGAUUAUAUGAAAAUAGCUUAUAGAUUCAUUGAGAAAUGCACACAAGUUUGUUAACCCUUUUGUUCAAUUUUAGGUGUGGCCUCCUAUUGGCAAGAAGAAGUUUGAGACACUUUCAUACCUUCCACCAUUGACCAGAGAACAAUUGGCCAAAGAAGUUGAAUACCUUAUAAGGAAGGGAUGGGUUGCUUGCUUGGAAUUCGAGACCGAGGUCUAGUUUUAAUUUAUUUUCAAUGCCUUUUCAAUGAACAUAUAUAUAGUUUUGAAUUUAGAUGGUUAAUUGGUUUGUCAUGGUUAAUCUACUUGCAGAAAGGAUUUGUGUACCGUGAGAACCACAGUUCACCAGGAUACUAUGACGGACGUUACUGGACAAUGUGGAAGUUGCCUUUGUUUGGAGCAACUGAUGCUUCUCAAGUGUUGAAGGAGCUUGAUGAAGUUGUUGUUGCUUACCCUAAUGCCUUUGUCCGUAUCAUCGGAUUCGACAACGUUCGUCAAGUUCAAUGCAUCAGUUUCAUUGCACACACACCUGAAGUUUACUAAGUUUGAGUAUUUAAUCACUCUCUGCUGCCACUGGAAGAACAUUUUUCGUUGUUUUUCGAUUUACGCUUUCGGAUUUCAAAUGCAAAUGUAUGGAUAAGAGUUAAUAAAUGAAAUGGUACUUUUAUUCAUUCUGAAAUUAGUAGGAUAUGUUGCUUACCUUGUAAUGUCUUGAACUUGAAAUUUUAACUAACAAAGGAACCAACAGUAUGAUAUUAAAGAAAGAUAAAUUACAUUUCCAGAUAAUUCUUUCUCAUUUUCACCAAAAUUAUGCACAAUCAGUACAUCUUUACAAGAAACUUUUUUGAGCAGAAAUUAUGAACUGCAUAUCGUUGACGCUCCAAAAAGCAAUCCACGGUCUCAAAGUUAUUUUCAUACGCUAAAUACUAGGUCUUCGCUUUUACCUUCUGAAUGACAGCCAAUUUACUCACUAUAUUGCAGCCAAUUCGAACUUUUAUGAAUGGACAAAAUACAUCGAAAUUGACCGUCAUAAUUUUAGGGAAAAAGUUUCAACCAAAGUUGUUGCGUGAUCUUACUGCCUAUUUCCGCAGUCGAUCAAGUGGUAGACUUGCUCACAAAACCUAUUGACCCUACGCCCUUUAAUUGUCCAGUCUUCAUCUGUUAGUAGAUAAUCCUUUUGUUUGGCUUUUCAAUCAUGUUUGUAUUUCCUAUUCUAUAACUUCCAUCAUGAAUAACAUUUUAAGUUCUUCACAUUUGAUAAUACCUUAGCUGAAAAAAUGUAAGGCUCUCUGCAUUGGUGAAAAUAUUUAAAAGAGUAAAUCAAAAUGAUACAAGAGCCAAAAACCAGAUUUUACUAUUCAGAGUUUGCUAUUUAUUUAUAGGGCAAUGCUAAACCGUGCCCCCAGAGGCAAUGGUUAAGCAUCCAAAACAAGAAAGUUUUCACAAAAAAAGUAAUGUAAUCGUUAUUUAGUCAAAAGUGAGACCUUAUGUUUCCAAGACAAAAUUUCUAUUCAUGGAUUCCUUAACCAAUGCCCAAGAAGCACUGGUUAACAAGACCCUUAUUUAUAACACUCCUUCUCAACUUAGUGAGUGGAUAUAAAUUAUUCCAAGCUUGCAAGUAAAAAGGUUGAAUCAUUCUGUCGGACAGAAAACUCUUUGUUAACACAUUUGUCUGUUGAUGCCCAAAAGGAACAUAAGCUGUAGUUGUCAGUUCUGUUGUGAAUUCGGUAACUUCAAAUCUUACACCAAUGAAAUUUAGAUUUGUGGUGAAGUAUCAAUGUAAACUAAUAACCACAAGCAACAACAACAAUUUUAGAUCUAAUCUAAAAACUAAGUGUAAAGCAAAACCACAAUCGAACAAAAGAAGAAACAAGAUAAAGAGAAUAGAGAAAAAGAGCAACGCCAAACAACCGUUUACCUAGUUCGGUCUAUCAUUGACCUACUUUGGGAAAGAGAUCAAGUUCCUUACAAAGAGAUACAAAAAAGGGUUACAAGAAAUUCGCUUCAACAAGUUCUCCAAGACAAAACCUAAUUUCUACCUUUUUCCCAAUCUCAUUCCAUGAACAAGAGACUCAAUGAUUUCACUCACCAAAGGUGUUUCCCAAUUGUUUUUCAACUCUAGAAUCUAACCCCCCAAAAGAGAACCAAUCCAUAUCCUUUGAUUUCCCAAAAAUAUUCUCUUUUGGUUUUCCAAGACUCACUCAAGUUGCUCGCAAAACUCUCCUUUGAUGUGUUUUCCAAAAGGGUCUUGUUACAAGUGUCCCCGGGACACUCUUUAAGCAUUCCAAAAUUAGUAAUUAUUUUUUAAAAAAGUUAAAUGUUUCGAUUUCCAAUGCAUUGAUUACACACUUUUUUAUAAAUACAUACUACUUAUAGUCCUUAAAGAGUGUCUCAGGGACACUUGUUAACAUUUCCCUUUCCAAAAUUGUGCCCCAAUUUUCCAAUUCAUACACGAUCGAUGCAAGGGAAUGUUAUCCAAAAUCAUACCCCAAUUUUUGUCGAACCAAAACUCCAAUUGAACUUCACAUUGUAUCUUCAAAUAUAUAUUCCAACACUUGUUUCAUCCAUAAUAGCUCACAAAUUCCUAGUGCCAUAACUCUAUAUUUUUCCUCAACGAUUGAUCAAUCAACUACACUUUACUUCUUAUUCCUUCAAGCAAUAAGGUUCUCACACAAUAAUGUACAAUGGUUAGAAGGAAAUCUUCUACUUGCAUGACCCACCCGCAAACCGUACCGGAUCCUCAUGGAAUAUUGCAUAACACUUUAUCGUUCCAACUUAUCACUUGGCUGUAUCAAUUUGUUUGAUAAAGUUUCAUCUGAAGUAUAUACUAUACACACACAAAAAUAAGAAGAAUUUCAAAAUUCAUUCUAAUACUCACAGCACAUUCCUAAAAAAAUAUAUAUAUAUAUAUAUAUACUCAUAGCACAAUAUGUGCCUAAUAUUAAGAAUAAUAACAACAGUUUAAAAGAUCGAACGACAUGUUGUUAAAGCCAAUGAUUUAACAAUUAACACUGAUUUUAACCAUAGAUUUGAACCUGAUUAUGCUCUAUAAAAAAUAAUAAAAUGAACAACACCUUUGUAUUUUGACACAUGUUAUAAACACAUCACUAAAACAGCACAAUCAACUUUCAUUUCGACUCUUUUUUGUUCGCAUCAAAGUUAGCUAGGAAAUAGCAAGCACAAAUGUACUUUUAAUACAAACAAUUAAUGGAGACGGAAAAAUCAAUUGUAGUUUUAUAACCAAUAGAUAGCCAAAUCCUAUCCCAUAAACAUACUCCAUAAUAAACAAACCAACUAUGAAUGAACAUAAGUUAUCUAUUUUAGAAGCAUUCAUCAUCCAAUAUACAUUAUAAUUCAAGCCUUAAAUGCUAACACAUUUAAGCUUCUUUGCCAAAAAAAAUUCAAUCGUUACUUUCUUCACAAUAUAGACCCUUCAAGAACAUCAACUUCUCCGUGGAUAACUCUUUAGAGAUAACACAUGCAAAACAAAACGCGGCAGUUGGAGAGCAAAUAACAAAAAGUGAUGAAGAUAGUAAUGGAGAGCAAGCAUGGAAACUACAACAAAAGUAUAUAUAUAACCAGCCUUCCUUCAUCAUACGUAUAAAUAGGACAAAAUAAUCCUUUUGUAAGUUGGUUUGUGUUUUAGUGGUUCACUUAUUGGUAAAGCACAAUAGCCAUUGGAGGUACUAUCUUGUUCCAAGAUUAAUUUACAUGCUAGAGAAACAAAUAUUGGAGUUCCUAGAAGAAAAAAGAAUACGGCAGUUGAUGUUGAUGUGGGCGUGAAACAUUGAUGGAAUGAAAAUGUGAUAGGCAAGAAUUGGAGUCCCUAGAAAUUAGAGUUCCAAGGUUAGCUUGCAUAAGAGAACGGACGAAAGGAUGGAAUGGAUGAUUAGGAAAGUUGAACAUUCUUGAUGAGGCCAAAGACAUUGAAUACAUAUUGGCGCCUUCCUCGUCUCUAAUAUAUAUGCCAAUACCUACUCGAUUGUCAUUAUUUGAAAAAGAAGCGUUUAUGUUACAUGUUUAAUACAUUUAUUACUAUAUGAUAUGAAUAUCUCUCAUAUUCUUAAAAAAAUAAAAUCUCACAUAUUUAUUUGAUAAUUAUAAAAUAUAUUUUUCAAUUAGUUUUUCUUGUUAAUGUGAAUAUGAUUUGAUAUAUAUUCGGUAAUUAGUUGAAAGCAACAUAUAUAUUAGAAAAUAUGAUGCAAUAAUAUUUUAAAUAAGUUAUAAUUUUAUUAUAUGGUCUAUGAAGCCCAGAUACAUGAUACGAUUCGACACCGAUACGGGAAAAUUUUAAAAUAUAAGAUACAAUACGGCUUGGAUAUACUUCAAUAAAAAAUUAAAUUUAAACUACAUAUUAAAACUCAAAACACAAAAUAUGGACUAAAACUCAAAAGCAAAAAAAUUGGUGCAAAACCCAGACCAAACAAAAUAGAAAAAGGAUAAGGCACAACAAUGAAAUUGCCUUCACACAACAAUCAACAAUUUCAUCGUUCUCAAACAAACAAAGAGAGAUGAAAGAGACGACAACAACAAUAGAAAUAUAAAUGUAACUAAUAUUAAUAAUAAAGAAAGCGAAAAUUAGUCAAUUACAUAUGUGAUAUAUCCUAAAUAGAAAACAUCAUUACUUAGUCAAUUACAUAUAUACCAAAUAUGAUAGAAACAUCAGGUAGCCCGCACAUAUCAGUUUUCCACCUCCUAUCGCUCUUAUCCCAGAUGUAUCUGAAAAGUAUCGCAUAAUUGUUUUUUUAAAAAAAUAAAAUUUCAUAUUCGGAUACUCUCCUGAUACGUAUCGAGAAGUAUCAAGCAUGUAUCAGUGCAAGAUACACAGGGGAUAAUGUUCAUCAUCCAUUUUGAAGUAUCUGGACUUCAGAGUAUAUGGUACAAAAUAUACAUGUGAAUCAAAAAGAAAAUAAUGACGAAGAUUAUGAAGUUUUUGUGUUUUUUAAAUGUGUGAAAUUUUAUUAAUUUUUUUAUAAAAAAAGUUUAUUUAACUUUUAUAUUAUGAAAUUUAUAUCAUCAUAUUUUUUUAUAAAGAUUGGGUUAAUAGUUAUGCGGUCCGAUCAAUGACCAAUUGAUCCAACCAUUGACCUAAUGACCCAGUGUUUUGGCCGAAUCGACUACCGGUUCGGGUUUUUAAAACACCGGAUUCACUGCAAGUAUUGGGUCAUUUACUCAUGUAAUUCAUUGUUGCUGGGAUAACUAACAUAUUUCAGGUCCUCCUCUAUGUCUGACCCGAAUUCCCAUAUAGAGAGAUAUUUUAAAUAGGAACCAAACGCAAGUACUGGACAUAACAAUAUAAGAUAGAACAACACAUCAGAAGGUAGAACAACACAUGACAAAUUUUUAUGGCAUUGAAUAAUUUUUUGUUUUAUACAAUUUUUGGGUACGAAAUGCUAUUUUUGUAUUUUUGACAACCUGUACGUGAGACAAAAAGUUGUGAUGUGGUUUGAUGAGGGACAAAAAUAUCAGCUUUUGUCAUGUCCCUUGCCUCCAGUUUGUCCUGUACAUGAAACAAUUUUACAAAUCAAACACUGGACAACUGAAGUUGUUUUGUCCUAUCCUUUAUUUUUUAGCAAAUCAAAGGCACCCAUUAUAUUAUUUCAGUGUUUUAGCUAUUUCUAUCUCAUAGUGGAUUUUCGAUUUUGCCAAAACCGAAUCAAUUCAUUGUUUAAGAGGACUAUGAUUCAUCUCCUUCAUAGAUGCUUGCAAGUAUUCUUAGUUUUAUGUUCGAAUUAGGGGAUGUUUGGUUUCUUACUAAUCCGCGGUCAAUGUUUGAAUUUCUGUACUAAUACAUCCAUAAAAACUUGAUUUGUUUUGACAUGUGGACAAUAGCAAAAAAGUGUCCUUUUUUUAAGGAAAGCAAAAAAGUUUUUGAACAAGAGGAAAGCAAAAAAGUGCCCUUAGCAUUUAUUAAAGGAAUACAAAUUUUAGAUGGUAUUCUGGUUGCUAAUUAGGUAGUUGAUGAAUCUAAAAAAUUGAAAAAAGAAUUGCUUUUAUUUAAAGUCGACUUUAAGAAAGCAUACAAUUCAGUUGAUUGGAAAUAUUUGGAUGAUAUUAUGGUUACGAUGUUGUUUCCGACUAUUUGGAGGAAAUGAAUGAAAAAAUGUGUUGGGACUGCUACUGCGACUGUUUUAUUGAAUGGUAGUCCCACUGAGAAAUUCACUUUAGCUAGAGGUCUGCGACAGGGAGAUCCCCUUUCACCUUUCUUGUUCCUUCUGGUGGUUGAGGGGUUUCAUGUGAUGAUGGAGUCUAUUGUUAAUACUAAUAAUAUUUUUAGUGAUUACAAAGUAGGGGGUCGGCCAUUAACUAUUUAUAACCCUCAGUUUACGGAUGAUAACUUUGAUUUUGGGGGAAAGAAGUUGGGCUAAUGUUCGAGCUAUGCAUGUCACCCUUCAUCUUUUUGCAGCGAGGUCUGGUUUAAAGGUUAAUUUCCACAAAAGUGAGUUAGUUGGCAUAAACAUUGGUGGGUCUUGGUUAGCUAAAGUUGCGGCGGUUUUGAAUUGUAAGGUUACAACAUUGUUUGUUUUGUAUGUGGGCCUCCCUAUUGAUGGAGAUUCUCGUCGAUUGAAUAUUUGGGAACCGAUGGCUAAUCGUAUUAAGUCCCACCUGUCAAGUUGGAAAAGUAGAAAUUUUUCUUUUCCAUUUGUUUGGACAUGGAAGUUGGUGUUUUGGAGGUUAUGAGAAUCAGAGAGUUUAAUUUAACGUUGUUGGGUAAGUAGUGUUGGAGGCUGGCGGUGAAUUGAAAGGGUCUCUGGUUUAAAGUCUUGGUUGAGAGGUACGGGGUUGUUGGGGGAGGUUGGAGGAGGGUGGUAGGGAUGGAUGAGUGUGGUGGAGGGAGGUAGCAGGCAUCCGUGAUGGCGUAGGUGCGGGUGAAGGAUGCUGGUUCACUGAUAAUUUGCGCAUUAAGGUUGGUAAUGGUGCCACCGCUUUGUUUUGGUUGGAUAUGUGGGUGGGUGAUGUUCCUCUUCGGGACAAGUUUCAUCGUUUAUUUGAUUUAUCAGAAAAUAAAGACUCGCCUAUCGCUCAAAUAUUUUCGUUAGGGUGGGGUGAGGGAGGGGAGGCUUGGAAGUGGAAGAGAAAAUUAUGAGCGUGAGAGGAGGAGAUGGUAGAUGAGUGUAGGGUGUUACUGCUGACUGUUUCUUUGUAGGGUGAUGUUCAUGAUGUUUGGUCUUGGGGUCCUGAUCCAAUUGGUGGGUAUUCGGUCAAUGGUGCAUGAUGUAGGAGGGUUUCCAUAGUAUUUUAUUAUUUCAAUCUAAUUUUAUUAUUGGUUGUUUUGUUUUCAGUUUUUUUUUUGCCCAUUAGGGUUUUGUUAUUUCCCUAGUUAAGCUUUAACAUUGUAGGCCAAAGAGGCAACUUUUAUUCAUUCAAUAAUAUUUUAGAGAGUUUUUCUCAAUUUUUGGUGGAUUAUGGAACCCUAUUUUCACAAGUUCAUCGCUUACAAACUUGUUCCUUUCAAUCUAGGUUUAGCGCUUGCUAGCCUAUCCUUCCGUACUAGUCAGUUGGUAUCAGAGCAGGUUUCUCCUGUUCUUUUCCUAACAUGAUCAGCCAUAGGCCGGGCAGGCCUUGAGGGAGUGCAAGGUGCUCAAUCAAGCCGGGCCUCCAAAAUCUAUGGGCCUCCGAAAAAAUUAACUCUAAUACCCACCCCACUUAAAUAUAAAAAUAUAUAUGUUACUUCUUUACACGUUUGAGUUUCUUCUAGACUUUAGUUCUCCUAUCUGGACAUAAAUUUGGUACUAUCAAACCACUACCAAUUGGUAUAAUGACUUAAUCAGUCAAUUUGAAAAGUUAUUUCAUAGAAAGAAUCACAACAAUCAUUUCUUUUUCACAUAAACCAUUCGUUUUCCCCUUUCCCACAACGGAUAAUUGACAUAUUCAAAUGACACCGUUUGUAAAUUCUACCUCUCUUUCACUUAAUUUUUUUGUAUUUCGUUUCAUGUUUACAAGCUCUUCUGAUUCUGAUUUUUUAAUAAAGCUUAGCUACACAAAAAAAUUACGUUUUUAUUUUAUUGGGGAUCUAUUUUAAAUAGAGAGCCGAGCCUUCUAUUUCAUAGGGACGGCCCUAUAGGUGAUCAAAAUUAAAUGGAAAGUUUAGUCUUCUUUAUCAUUCCCUUCUUUUCAAUUAAAGUUGUCGUCCCUCUAAAUUUCCAUUCCCUAUUUCAAUUGUCGUUCAAGUUAUUAACUUCAUCCAAAGUCCAUUUAUUUCAAGUGCUGCUACAUAUUACUUUCUUUUUUCAAUCGAAUUGCUGGCUGUUGUGUAUCAUAUUUUGCUGGUGGCUGUUUGAAUUGAAUUUGCAUGGUUAGAAAUUCAACAUUAUGUCGUGCCCUUAUAAUCUACCUCCUCCGGUCCUAUAUAUAAGAAACAAUUUACUUUUUUGAUUCAUUGAAUAGUUGAUGUAUUUGGUCUAUUUCUGAACUAGGUACAUCAAUUAUUGAAUGAAUCUAAAAAGUUAACUUUUUCUGAUAAAUAAGACCGGAGGUAGUAUAUGAUUGCCGCAACCAUUCUUCUUUUUAAUUAAAGUUUCCAUCUAAUUAAAUUUAAUCCAACCAUGAGAGAUCAACAGGUCGUGAUUUUAACUGCGGCCAUCAAAGCACUAUCAGAUCAGAUGGCAACGUUGAUAGCUAAGGUUGACGAGAUAAAAAACAGUAACAACAACAGAAAUGAUCCGAACAGAGGAGGAGGAUCAAUUCCGGUUAUUAGGGUUCGUAAUAACAACCAUAUUAUUGUUAUGUAUCGAAAAUUAGAACAUACUCGUGAAGGUGAGAAAAAACACAAGAAGGGGGGGUUGAAUUGUGUUUUCUUUUUCUCUCUAAAAAAUACUUCUUCUGAUAAAAACUUCAGAAGCAGUUUGUGAAUGCUUCUGAUGAAAUGAUCAGAAUCAGAUAUGCAGCGGAAAAGAUCAAAGCAGAGAAAAGAAAAGCAAGACACAAGCAGUUAUCCUGGUUCCUUCCACAAAAUGGAAGUAGUCCAGUCCCCCUUGCACUUCCAAGGAGAUUUCACUAUAAUCACAAAGAUUACAAAUGCUCAAUACUCUCUAAGUAUGAGACUUCUCAAAAAUGCUCAAGCACACACGCAAGAGUCUUCCAAUGCUCAAGCACUAAGCAAGAGUCUUCUAAUGCUCAAGCACGCAGGCAAGAGGCUUCUGAUCAAACAAAAAUACAAUGAAUUAAGUUUGACUUGAACACUUGAUAUACAAUCAGUGGUGUUCACAAUACAAUACAAUAAAGACUCUAGACUUUUGAAUUUCUAAGAUGUAUCAAAUCAGUGCAGAAAUUCAGUGUGCUUUGUAGAAUCAAAUUGACAGAGUUUUGGCGCUUUUUAACUUGUGUAUCUCUAUCUACAAUCUUCAAGUCUUCACUCCUUUAUAUAGAGGCGUGAAAGAGACGUUGAGAUAAUUAGCACGUCUAAAGAGUCGUUUGAAAUCCUUUGAUCAUUCACCAGUAAUCCUUUGCCUGAUUUGGGUGUAGUCCUUUGAAGAAUUAGCUUCAAAUUCAUUCCCAUCUUGAAGGCACAAAUUCUGCAGGCAUAGCUGUUGUCUUGUCUUGUAGCGUGGACAAAACAGAGUAGUGGAGGUAGUGGUUGUACACUUGUACUUUGUCAACUCUGUUAACGAAGGACAAAUACUCAGUGCUAUCCAAAUGACCGUUGAUACCUCCCUUUCAAUUCUUCGUUCUUCUUAGAUAAUGUUGAAAUGAGAAACAGCUACUUUGGAUCUUCAGUUUGAAUUUACGGAUAAAAUGUAGCUUCUGGUGAUGAUAUCGCUUCUGAUGAAAACCUUGCUUCUGAUGAGCUUCUGCUUCUGAUGACGUCAUCACUUCAGAUGCACUUCAGCUUCAGGAGCACUUCAAGCUUCAGACGCAGUUUUCUUCAGAUGCUAUGAAUUCCUUUGCUUUCCAUUGUUCUUCCAAGACCUAUUGAAAUUACUUGACUAGCAUUUGGUCCUGUAUACUUGAACAAUAAUUAGAAAUAACCAAUUGACAAUUUUUAAUACCUUGUUAUCAUCAAAACUCAUUAAGGUUCAUUGUAAAACACAUUUUGUUCCAACAACUCGUGAAUCUGAACAAGUUGAAGGAUGAUCAUUACGAGUUUAAAAUCUCCGAUUCGAUAUAUCGUUGUCCGUUUUGUUACAACAAGGAUUCCUUGACCGACCUUUUGAGACAUGCUUUUAGAAUUGCAGGUAACUUGCGUAAGACGGUUAAAGAUAUUGCCAAACAUUCAGUUUUGAUAACAUACAUUCUAAGGUAUCAUAAUGUUAAUGUUGAUAAAAAUAAGCCACUUGAUGUUAAUAUUGCUAGUGAUAGCCACUUGGUGUCGGUAUUGCUAGCGGUAAGCCAGUUAAUUUGAGUGUCGUUGAUCAGAAGUCGCUUGGUAUGAAUGUAACUAAGUGUCAGCUAGCGAACGUGAAUGUUGUUGAUAGUUUUGUUGCCACAAUGGAAGAAUACAUUAAGGAAUCCACCAAUGAGAAGAUUUGUACAACAUAUUUCUCUAAUAAGAAGCCGCGGUUAUCCUCCGAUGCAUGCUCAGAGAUGCCAGAAAUAAUUAUCACCGAAAUUGAGAGUACGAUGGAUGUUAAUCCUCCAGAAUCUGCUGCGAUAAUCAUCCAGGCUUCAAUUAGAGGAUAUUUAGUUCGGAGAGCACUUCUAAAGAGUAAGAAUGUAGUGAAGUUGCAAGCUGUUGUUCGCGUUCACUUGGUUAGAAGGCAUGAUGUUGGAGCAUCGCGAUGUAUUCAAGCUAUUACUAAAAUGCAAGCUCUGUUUUCAGUUCCGAAUCACAAUUCAACAAUGGGAUUAGGAGUCAAUAUUGCAAGAAUGAAAGGGGGUGAAAUUUAAGGAAGAUGAUUCCCAGAGUAUUGACUGUGAAAUAGUGGAGAAAAUGGAAGCUCGAUAAGUGCCAUAAUGGUUAUUCGUGAAAUAGAUGAUGGUCAAUAUUUGAUGCUUCGGAAUAUGUUACCUCUGAUGUGAUUCAAACACCACUUGAAGUUUUCAAAAGCAUGGAAGCUGAUGGGUUUCCCAUUAAGCGUGGUCGUGUACCCAUCACCUAUGCACCUGAUAUUUUGGAAAAUAAUAUUUUGCUUCUGCCAAAGAAUCUGAGCGUUAUGAAUGUCACCAAACCAGAGUUCACCAAAGAUCAAAAUGUAUAUCCUAAUCAAAGCACAAAACUCUAAUGGGAUGAGAAAUGGAAAUAGUUUUGAUGCUGGAACAGUUCAUACUACUAGUUUGGACAUAACUUCUUUGAAUUUCAUUCAAUGGGAUCGUGGAGGGUGGUCGCUUUGUUCAUUGGAGGAGUCAACAUUCAUGGGAAGCUCUUUAUCAGAAUAAGAACUCGGGCUCGAGUUCUUCAGAGGUGGAGGAGACUCAUGCACAAGAGUUUCCAUAGUAUUUCAACCUAAUUUUAUCAUUUGUUUGUUUUGUUUUCAGUUUGUUAUUUUUGGCCCAUUAGGGUUUUGUUAUUUUCCUAUUUAAGCUUAAUAGUUGUAGCCUAAGAGACAACUUUUAUUAAUUCAAUAAUAUUUUAUAGAGUUUUCUCAAUUUCUGGUGGAUUCCGGAACCCUAUUUUAACAAGUUUAUCGCUUGCAAACUUGUUUCUUUUCAAUCUAGGUUUAACGCUUGCUAGCCUCCGCUUCCGACUGCGUCAAUGCAUACCGUAUUCUGACUGACGCGAACUCCCUCCACACUUUCAUUCCAUCAGACUUAUUGUGGAGAAAGGAGUUCACGUUGAAGGUCUCAGUGUUUGCUUGGCGACUAUUUCAGAAUAGAUUAUCAACAAAGGGGAAUUUAUUUUGUCGCGAGAUCAUACCUCAUGAGUCUCAAUUAUGUGUUAGUGUUUGCGGUAAGGAGGAAACAACCCAACUUUUAUAUUUAGGUUGCAUAAUGUUUGGUUCUAUUUGGAAACUUGUUCGAAAUUGUCUUGGAGUUCAUUUGGUCGAUCCGUUGAAUAUUGUUGAUCCGUUGAAUCACGUCGGUCAUUUAUGUUCUUGAUUUGGUUUGCGACUUUUUGAUCGAUUUGGAAGGAAAGAAACAUCAUGAUUUUCGAUGGCAAAGAAAAUGCUAUAUAUAUAUAUAUAUAUAUAUAUAUAUAUCUUUUUGAUAUCUUAAAGCAAAAGGAAAAAAGGGUCCUUAGCCAAUCUUUUAAGAAAAAAUAAAAUAGGGCUUAAAUAAAUUUUUGAUUGCAUAAAAUUUUGCAUUUAGUUCCUCUAAAAUUGAAAUUCUUAAAACUAAUGAAUAAAUUUAUUUUGUAUUUGGGGUUUAGGGUGUCACAUAGAUAAUUAUAUACGAGGUUUUUUUUAAAGGAAUUUAUAUAUAAGGUUAUAAUUGCACCAACAACAUAUUUUUCACCCGGAAAAAAGAGAGAAAGAAAAGGUUGUAAUUACAUGUUAUUAAAAAAAGAUAACAAUUUAUUUAUGGAAUUUUUUCCUAACUACUUUCUAGAUAAACGUAAUACUUUUUUUUUAUUUUUUUAUUUUGACCGUACUUUCUAGAAAAACGUAAUUUUUUUUUUAUUUUGAUCGGAAAAAUCAUAAUACUAAUUAUUUACAUUAAUUUUAUACGAUUGAGUCAAACAAAAAUUUAUUGCAUGUUUCCUUGAGAGAGGUAUAUAUAUAGCACAAUGGAGGUCAUAUUCAUCUCAAACAAAACAUUCAAUUAAAUAAUAUAUUACUAAAAAAAUGAAGUUCUCACACUACAGAAGAGUUUCAAUCAACCCUCUUAGUUAAUGUAUUUCGAUUGUAGUUCAAAAUUAUUUGUUGUAGUCUUGUAUUAAUUUUUUAUGUUUUUUUUUCUUCAGAUUAUACAUCAAAAAAAUCUCAUGGCGUUCGCUUCCUCGUCGCUAGCUGAAAAGAAGAAGGUUAUGUUCGUAAUGGGUGCAACAUACAUCGGAAAAACUAUACUUUUCAUCUACUUAGGUACUCAUUUCCUCUAUGAAAUCAUCAAUUCAAAUAAAAUUCAAAUUUAUAAAGAUCUUGACUUGACACCAACUUAGUACCAAAAUCUGAACGUUGUUCGAUUUUCACAUCACGUUAUGCAUCAUCAAUGAUCCUGAUAUGAUUUCAUUGUGAUUAAUUUUUUGCAAACACAUGCUUGAAACUCUAUAUUUAUAGGUGAAAAUUGACACCUAACCAUUAUUGUAAGAGGGUCACAUUCUUACAUUGAAAUAUUAGUUGAUUACCCAAUCAUUGAAUUUUGUUCAAAAUAAUAUUGUUGUUUUAUUUAGCUUGAUGCUUCUUUGCCUCGUUUGAUUUAAUAUUUAUACAAAAGAGGAGACCAAAUGGUUGAGGCAGAGAUUGUGGAUGAAAUUAGAGAAAAGGAAAAAUUGGAUUCCUAAGCUUGAUUGUUAUUUUGAGAUUGAAAAGGAAAAAUCUCUAAUCUUGUACACAAGACCUGCCUCGACCACUUGAUAAACUCUUUUGUCUACGUAUUGAAACAAAAUAGGCAAAUAAACAUCUAGCCAAAUGAAACAACAUUAAAUCUUUAAACAAAAUGUAAUAAUUGCAUCAUCAACUAAUAUUUAUAAGUGAGAAUUUUCCCUCCUAUAAUAAUGUCUAGGUAACAAUUUUCAACUCUGAAAUAUAAAGCUUCAAACAUGUGUUUUCAAAAAUCAAGCACAGUAAAAUCAUAAUCAGAAUUAUUGGUGAUACCUAAUAUGUGAUGUGGAAUCGAACAAUGUUUAUAUUCAGAUACCUUGUUUGUGACAAGUCAAGAUCCUUAUAGACUUAAAUUUUAUCUGAGUUGAUGAUUUCAUAGAGGAAUCGAGUAUCUAAGUAGAUGGUAAAUUUAUUUUUUCCAAUUCCAGUUGCUUCCAUUAUGAACAAAACCUUAUUCUUUUCAGCUAGUAUUGAGGAACAAAAAACCAUGUUUUUUUUUUUUUUUUUUAUGUAUAACCUAAGGAAAUGACAAUAAUAAAAAUAAUUAAAAACUACAACAAAUGAUUUUGGACUAGAAUCGAAAUGGAUUAAUCUUAUACAUGUUGUCAAUAAGGAUACUAGUUAUAUGAAGAAGAGAAUCAAUUGAAACUUUAUUUGUGCUAUAUAUAAUGAUUUAUGAUAUAUGGAGAGAGGGACGGCUGAAUAUGCAAAUUUGGAAUCAAUUUUGGAGAUUCAUGGAGGGCGGGUUUAUCAUCUUGGGUGUCGUAGGGGUGGCUGAGGUUCUAGGGCUACCCAAUAGUUUUAUGAUGUUGUUGUAGUAUUUUGAACAAAUUUGAUUUUUUUAUUUUAUGUUUGAAUAUUGGGUGUUUGUAACAUAUGGAUAAUUUGUUUUUAAUUUUAUGUUUGAAAUUGUGUUGUUUUUGAUCAUUUUCAUUAUAGUAUUUAUUUAUUUAUUCACGAAUGCAUGUUUAUAUCAAAAGAUUAUAUAAUCUGUAUGUAUCAGAGUGAAAAAAACUCUGUUUUUGUUAUGAUACCUUUCAGAUUAUAUAAUAUGAAAUGUCAUAAAACAAUUCGGAUUAUAUAAUCUAAAAUAUGCCUCUUGUGGGUUGUGGGGUGUUUGACACUUUUCGGAUUAUUUAAGCCAAAUUAUUUUAAGAAGUUUCGGAUUAUAUAAUCCAAAACGUAUGUUUAACUGAGACCUACACAAACAUCUCUAGGGUGCUUUGUCUUCCAAUAGUUUUUAUACUGAUUGGAUUAUAUAAUCCGAACCUAAGGUAUUUUGAGAAAAAAAAUAGGGCGCUCAAGAACCAAAUAGGGUGGAAAAAGUAAUGGCUAAUAUUGAUUGCCCCAGUAAGGAGCCAGAGCCUGAAAAAAGUACCAUACAUGAUUGAUAUUUGUGGAGGCAUUAAUAGUCACAAAACUACACGUGGCAAUUUCAUAUUGGUGGCUAAUGAUAAGGCUAGCACAAAAAUUUCCAUUCCUGUGUGGUUGAUAUGGCAGCAAAGUUUAUCAUAUUCACAACCAACAAAAUGGUAUUAUGAAGCAUUACCACAAUUUAUAAGACCAUAAUAUUGGAAAUAGAAAAUUAAAAAUAGUAUAUAUAUAAGUUUGAGUAUAGGUUUUGCAAUUCAAGCAGAAGUAUAUCUUACUAGUGAACUAAGGGAGAAAAACAUGGCUUCCUCUAUGAUGUCCUCUUCAGCUGUGACUACAGUUAACCGUGCCUCUUCGGUACAAUCCGGUGCGGUGGCUCCAUUCGUCGGACUCAAGUCCAUGGCUGGCUUCCCAAUUACAAAGGUCAACAAAGACAUUACCUCCAUUACAAGCAAUGGCGGAAGAGUAAACUGCAUGCAGGUGAGAAAAAACAUGCCUACUAUUUUAGUUUAUUUGAGUUUGUUAUUAGCAUAAUCGAAACAAUUUAUGACAUGUCCGUAAACUGUUUUCAUCUUAUAUUUUCAUAAGCCCUUCAAGAUAGUUUAUGAAAACAGGUUAUAGACUAUAUGAAAAAAGUUUGACUUUAAUUUAUCUUUUGUCAUAAAAAUAACUUUUACAUAUUUAGAGAUUCGUUGAAAAAUGCACACAAGUUUGUUAACCAUUUUGUGCAAUUUUAGGUGUGGCCUCCUAUUGGCAAGAAGAAGUUUGAGACUCUUUCAUAUCUUCCACCAUUGACCAGAGAACAAUUGGCGAAAGAAGUUGAAUACCUUAUAAGGAAGGGAUGGGUUGCUUGCUUGGAAUUUGAGACCGAGGUCUAAUAUUACUUGCAAUAUCUUCUCAAUAUUUAUAAUCGUUGUUUUGUCACGGCCAAGGUCACAGUCACAAAUUUGUAUUUAAAACCCUUUUAAUUUGUGUGUGGCCGAUGUGGCCUCAAUUGCUGUCGAACUGCGGUUUCAAUAACAUCAAAAACCGUUAUGUCGCGACCCUGAUCGUGGUCACGGACCUUUAUUUAAAAUCCAUUUGAGUUUUGAUGGUUAACAUAUGUUUGUUUUGACUUCUACUUGCUUACUUGCAGAAAGGAUUUGUGUACCGUGAGAACCACAGUUCACCAGGAUACUAUGACGGACGUUACUGGACAAUGUGGAAGUUGCCUUUGUUUGGAGCAACUGAUGCUUCUCAAGUGUUGAAGGAGCUUGAUGAAGUUGUUGUUGCUUACCCUAAUGCCUUUGUCCGUAUCAUCGGAUUCGACAACGUUCGUCAAGUUCAAUGCAUCAGUUUCAUUGCACACACACCUGAAGUUUACUAAAUUUGAGUGUUAAAUCACUCUUGGCUACCAUUGGAGGAACAUUUUUUUCGCUCUAUUUGUUCUGUUUGUAAUUUCCUUUUAUUUUUUUAAGGAAAUGUCGUACUGUGUUUUUCAGUUUUACCUUUCGGAUUUUA
rnacentral:lncRNA from 1 species